UUACCCGCAUUUCUUUGGUCUUGCUAUCUUUAGAAGCGUUUAACUGUUGCACCGCCUCCCGCAGACCGUGGAUAUGGGAUUCCUUUGUGGAAAUAGCAUUUGCUAAAGACCUCAGUUCAUUAUUGAUCCAUUCAUCUCGCUGCUCUCUUGAUCUGAACUGAUUGGUCCGGCCUUGCUUUGAAAACAGUUGCGAUCUUCUUUGCUCACAUGCUGCCAUCCU